GAAAUUGAACUCGCUGUGAAGAUGCAGUGUACCCGCGGCAAGACGGAAAGACCCCGUGAACCUUUACUAUAGCUUGACACUGAACAUUGAGCCUUGAUGUGUAGGAUAGGUGGGAGGCUUUGAAGUGUGGACGCCAGUCUGCAUGGAGCCGACCUUGAAAUACCACCCUUUAAUGUUUGAUGUUCUAACGUUGGCCCGUAAUCCGGGUUGCGGACAGUGUCUGGUGGGUAGUUUGACUGGGGCGGUCUCCUCCUAAAGAGUAACGGAGGAGCACGAAGGUUGGCUAAUCCUGGUCGGACAUCAGGAGGUUAGUGCAAUGGCAUAAGCCAGCUUGACUGCGAGCGUGACGGCGCGAGCAGGUGCGAAAGCAGGUCAUAGUGAUCCGGUGGUUCUGAAUGGAAGGGCCAUCGCUCAACGGAUAAAAGGUACUCCGGGGAUAACAGGCUGAUACCGCCCAAGAGUUCAUAUCGACGGCGGUGUUUGGCACCUCGAUGUCGGCUCAUCACAUCCUGGGGCUGAAGUAGGUCCCAAGGGUAUGGCUGUUCGCCAUUUAAAGUGGUACGCGAGCUGGGUUUAGAACGUCGUGAGACAGUUCGGUCCCUAUCUGCCGUGGGCGCUGGAGAACUGAGGGGGGCUGCUCCUAGUACGAGAGGACCGGAGUGGACGCAUCACUGGUGUUCGGGUUGUCAUGCCAAUGGCACUGCCCGGUAGCUAAAUGCGGAAGAGAUAAGUGCUGAAAGCAUCUAAGCACGAAACUUGCCCCGAGAUGAGUUCUCCCUGAGACUUAGAGUCUCCUGAAGGAACGUUGAAGACGACGACGUUGAUAGGCCGGGUGUGUAAGCGCAGCGAUGCGUUGAGCUAACCGGUACUAAUGAACCGUGAGGCUUAACCUUACAACGCCGAAG
rnacentral:rRNA from 1 species